UUUGGAGAUGAUGACUUUGAUUGAAUUUAUCAGAUGCUAUGGCUUUGCUGAGAUAAAUAUAGAAUUUGCACGUCAGUCUGAUUCCUAA